CAAGCCGGGCGGCGGCAGCCCUGCCAACCCCGUCAGGUCCGAAAGGAAGCAGCGGCAACAGUCGUUGCCGGGUGCCCGGCCUCUUC
rnacentral:SRP_RNA from 1 species